rnacentral:rRNA from 1 species
UACGUAGGUGACAAGCGUUGUCCGGAUUUACUGGGCGUAAAGAGCUCGUAGGCGGCUUGUCACGUCGGGUGUGAAAGCCCGGGGCUUAACCCCGGGUCUGCAUUCGAUACGGGCUAGCUAGAGUGUGGUAGGGGAGAUCGGAAUUCCUGGUGUAGCGGUGAAAUGCGCAGAUAUCAGGAGGAACACCGGUGGCGAAGGCGGAUCUCUGGGCCAUUACUGACGCUGAGGAGCGAAAGCGUGGGGAGCGAACAGG